rfam:Setaria italica strain Yugu1 chromosome IX, whole genome shotgun sequence.
GGCCUAUUAGCUCAGUUGGUUAGAGCGUCGUGCUAAUAAUGCAAAGGUCGCAGGUUCGAGACCUGCAUGGGCGA